GACGCUGAGGCACGAAGGCCAGGGUAGCGAAAGGGAUUAGAUACCCCUGUAGUCCUGGCAGUAAACGGUGUGCGCUUGGUGUGAGGGGAUUCGACCCCCCUUGUGCCGGAGCUAACGCGUUAAGCGCACCGCCUGGGAAGUACGGCCGCAAGGCUAAAACUCAAAGAAAUUGACGGGGACCCGCACAAGCGGUGGAGUAUGUGGCUUAAUUCGAUGCAACGCGAAGAACCUUACCAAGGCUUGACAUGCAUCUCUAAGCGCGUGAAAGCGCGUGACCCUUCGGGGGAUUUGCACAGGUGCUGCAUGGCCGUCGUCAGCUCGUGUCGUGAGAUGUUGGGUUAAGUCUCGCAACGAGCGCAACCCUUGUGACUAGUUGCCAGCACGUCAUGGUGGGAACUCUAGUCAGACUGCCCAGAUCAACUGGGAGGAAGGUGGGGACGACGUCAGGUCAGUAUGGCCCUUACGCCUUGGGCUGCACACGUACUACAAUGCCCAGCACAAUGAGAACCGAGACCGCGAGGUGGAGGAAAUCUGCAAAACUGGGCCCAGUUCGGAUUGGAGGCUGCAACUCGCCUCCAUGAAGCCGGAAUCGCUAGUAAUGACGCAUCAGCUACGGCGUCGUGAAUACGUUCCCGGGUCUUGUACACACCGCCCGUCACAUCAUGGAAGCCGGUCGCACCCGAAGUGCCUGAGCCAACC
rnacentral:rRNA from 1 species